rnacentral:rRNA from 1 species
UACGGAGGGGGCUAGCGUUGUUCGGAAUUACUGGGCGUAAAGCGCGCGUAGGCGGACCUGCAAGUCGGGGGUGAAAGCCCGAGGCUCAACCUCGGAAUUGCCUUCGAUACUGCGGGUCUCGAGUCCGGGAGAGGUGAGUGGAAUUCCUAGUGUAGAGGUGAAAUUCGUAGAUAUUAGGAAGAACACCAGUGGCGAAGGCGGCUCACUGGCCCCGGUACUGACGCUGAGGCGCGAAAGCGUGGGGAGCAAACAGG